AUUGAUUUCUUUCGCUAAUUUAAAUUUGACCGUAAUUUAUGCAAUAGCCAAAAAAUAGAAAACUGAUAUAUGCAAACGCAUUUUGAUUUCGAUUAAUAUAGGAAAGUUACUAUAAAUUUAUUUAAAUUCACAUGGCUAAUUAAAAAUCACACAUGAAAUUUGAGAGAUUUACUUGAGAAACAUUAUUAAACAAGUUUAAAAUAAAAAAUAAAAAAUCUAACCAAUUACACAAGUUGUAAAUUAUUAUUAUAGAUUUACUUUCAUAAAAUUUAUUCCAAUUACACCUAACCAAUUACACAAGUUAAAAAAAAAUCAAAACUUAUAUUUUAUAAACAUGCACAAUGUCCUUCAAUCUUUCAUUAUAUAACAUGAAAUAUUUGUGAUUAUAACUUUUACCUCUCUAAUAUUUAUAGAUUAAAAAUUAUAAUCUCUAUUUAAUAUAUUCACUCCGCGCAUGGCGCGGGUACCACCUAGUAGAAUAUCUAAACCAUCGAUCGG
rnacentral:lncRNA from 1 species